rnacentral:rRNA from 1 species
CACCCUCCACCGAUCAAGGCUAUGGAGGGCGCAUCGCGUGAUCUCCCUCAGGACAUCUUGAUGGACAUCUUCGCCACCCUCGAGAUCCCCGACCUCGUCCGUGCCGGCUCGGUCUGCUCCUCCUGGCGCUCCGCCUACUCGAGGCUGCGCAGCCUUGGGCACUACACACGCCCCCAGACACCGUGCCUCCUCUACACAUCUGAAUCUGCCGGCGAGAGCGUUGCUUGCCUCUACAGCCUCGCGGAGAAGCGGACGUACAAGCUGACUCUCCCAGGGCCACCUAUCAGCAGCAGGCAUCUGAUUGGGUCCUCGCAAGGCUUGCUCGUUACAGUUGAUGACAGAUCUGAGAUGCACCUUGUCAAUCCCAUCACCGGUGAACAGAUUGAUCUCCCUUCGGUGAUCACCAUUGAGCAAGUGAAGCCCGUCUAUAGUGACUCUGGUGCUCUUCACAAGUACGAGUUCUCAUGGCACUCCGCAGCAAGGGUUUACGGUCCGCCAUCGGUCUCGGCUCCGGAAGAGCUGAGGAGCAAGCUUCACCAUAAAGCCUUUGUGUUUUCUGACGAUACGUGCAAUGGAUACAUUGUGGUGCUCAUACACAAUCCAUUUUGCCAGCUCUCGUUUGCAAGGGCAGGGGGUGACAGUUGGAUAUGGCUGCCACCACACACCCACUAUGACGAUUGCAUUUACAAGAACGGCCUGCUGUAUGCGGUCACUUCAUUUGGACAAAUUCAUGCUUUCGAUCUAAGUAGCCCUGUUGUUACGAUGAAGAUGAUUACAGGUGAGUCCGAUCUUGAGGACCGGUUUCUGAAUGCUUACAUUGUGCAAGCUCCAUGGGGCAAUCUUCUUCAAGUGUGGAGACUAUAUGAGCACUGCGAUUUAGAACCCGAGCCUGGGGCAUCUGUGUUUUGGAACACCGGAGAGCUUAUAAUAUAUGAAGUCGAUGCUUCGUCAGGAGAGAGAACUAAGAAAACCAGUUGCUUGCGCGACCAUGUGUUGUUUCUUGGGCACAAUCAAUCACUCUGUCUUGCUGCUCAAGACUAUCCGGCUCUCAAGGGAAACCAUGCCUACUUUACCGAUGACAAUGUGCUCUGGACAAAGGGAUUCAAGAACAACCCCCGUGACAUGGGAAUUCUCGACUUGGGUAAUAACGGCAGGGAGGAACUUGUGUCUCCCCAGCUUUGCUCCAACUGCCCGGCUCCCGUGUGGAUGACACCCAAUCUUAGAAAGAUGAAAUUGGCUUUCAAUGAAUAG